AGGCCUAACGCAUGCAAGUCGAGCGGUAGCACAGAGAGCUUGCUCUCGGGUGACGAGCGGCGGACGGGUGAGUAAUGUCUGGGAAACUGCCUGAUGGAGGGGGAUAACUACUGGAAACGGUAGCUAAUACCGCAUAACGUCGCAAGACCAAAGUGGGGGACCUUCGGGCCUCAUGCCAUCAGAUGUGCCCAGAUGGGAUUAGCUAGUAGGUGGGGUAACGGCUCACCUAGGCGACGAUCCCUAGCUGGUCUGAGAGGAUGACCAGCCACACUGGAACUGAGACACGGUCCAGACUCCUACGGGAGGCAGCAGUGGGGAAUAUUGCACAAUGGGCGCAAGCCUGAUGCAGCCAUGCCGCGUGUGUGAAGAAGGCCUUCGGGUUGUAAAGCACUUUCAGCGGGGAGGAAGGCGUUAAGGUUAAUAACCUUGGCGAUUGACGUUACCCGCAGAAGAAGCACCGGCUAACUCCGUGCCAGCAGCCGCGGUAAUACGGAGGGUGCAAGCGUUAAUCGGAAUUACUGGGCGUAAAGCGCACGCAGGCGGUCUGUCAAGUCGGAUGUGAAAUCCCCGGGCUCAACCUGGGAACUGCAUUCGAAACUGGCAGGCUAGAGUCUUGUAGAGGGGGGUAGAAUUCCAGGUGUAGCGGUGAAAUGCGUAGAGAUCUGGAGGAAUACCGGUGGCGAAGGCGGCCCCCUGGACAAAGACUGACGCUCAGGUGCGAAAGCGUGGGGAGCAAACAGGAUUAGAUACCCUGGUAGUCCACGCCGUAAACGAUGUCGAUUUGGAGGUUGUGCCCUUGAGGCGUGGCUUCCGGAGCUAACGCGUUAAAUCGACCGCCUGGGGAGUACGGCCGCAAGGUUAAAACUCAAAUGAAUUGACGGGGGCCCGCACAAGCGGUGGAGCAUGUGGUUUAAUUCGAUGCAACGCGAAGAACCUUACCUGGUCUUGACAUCCACAGAACUUUCCAGAGAUGGAUUGGUGCCUUCGGGAACUGUGAGACAGGUGCUGCAUGGCUGUCGUCAGCUCGUGUUGUGAAAUGUUGGGUUAAGUCCCGCAACGAGCGCAACCCUUAUCCUUUGUUGCCAGCGGUUCGGCCGGGAACUCAAAGGAGACUGCCAGUGAUAAACUGGAGGAAGGUGGGGAUGACGUCAAGUCAUCAUGGCCCUUACGACCAGGGCUACACACGUGCUACAAUGGCAUAUACAAAGAGAAGCGACCUCGCGAGAGCAAGCGGACCUCAUAAAGUAUGUCGUAGUCCGGAUUGGAGUCUGCAACUCGACUCCAUGAAGUCGGAAUCGCUAGUAAUCGUAGAUCAGAAUGCUACGGUGAAUACGUUCCCGGGCCUUGUACACACCGCCCGUCACACCAUGGGAGUGGGUUGCAAAAGAAGUAGGUAGCUUAACCUUCGGGAGGGCGCUUACCACUUUGUGAUUCAUGACUGGGGUG
rnacentral:rRNA from 1 species